UGAGGAAUAUUGCGCAAUGGGGGAAACCCUGACGCAGCAACGCCGCGUGGGCGAUGAAGGCCUUCGGGUCGUAAAGCCCUUUUCUGAGGGAAGAGGAAGGACGGUACCUCAGGAAUAAGCCUCGGCUAACUACGUGCCAGCAGCCGCGGUAAAACGUAGGAGGCAAGCGUUAUUCGGAUUUACUGGGCGUAAAGCGCGUGCAGGCGGCUUUACAAGUCGGACGUUAAAUCUCCUGGCUCAACUGGGAGGGGUCGUUCGAAACUGUAAGGCUUGAGGUUGGGAGAGGGAAGCGGAAUUCCCGGUGUAGUGGUGGAAUGCGUAGAUAUCGGGAGGAACACCAGUGGCGAAAGCGGCUUCCUGGCCCACACCUGACGCUAAGACGCGAAAGCGUGGGGAGCGAACGGG
rnacentral:rRNA from 1 species